CCCUUAGAUGUCCGGGGCCGCACGCGCGCUACACUGAUGCAUUCAACGAGUCCAACCUUGACCGAGAGGUCCGGGUAAUCUUUGAAACUGCAUCGUGAUGGGGCUAGAUUAUUGCAAUUAUUAAUCUUCAACGAGGAAUGCCUAGUAAGCGUGAUUCAUCAAAUCGCGUUGAUUACGUCCCUGCCCUUUGUACACACCGCCCGUCGCUCCUACCGAUUGAGUGUGUUGGUGAGGAGUUUGGAUUGGCCUCGGAAGGUGGUUCGCCACCGUCCGUAGCUGAGAAGUUCUCCAAACCGCCCCACUUAGAGGAAGGAGAAGUCGUAACA
rnacentral:rRNA from 1 species